GUUUUUUUAUUAUUUUAUUAAACUUACAGAUACGUUAUAUAUAUUAUGGUUUUUGAUUUCAUGUAAUUUUAACUUAUUGUUCUGGAAUUUAAAACUGUUUUCCUGGUGGAUGCACCAUUUAUAUCUACACCACCAGUGUACAGAUGUCUUUUUUUGCUGUUGUCCUCACCAACUCUCAGGCUUUGAUGAUAGCCAUCCUAACAGGCAUGAGGUGGCAUCCUGCUGUGGCUUUGGUUUCCAUUCCCUCGAUAACCGUCGAUGCUGAGCACCUGUCCCUGUAGCCAUUCGCAUACUGUCUUCAGAGAAGAUUCAAGCCCUUUGCUCAUGUUUUUAUUGGGGCUUUGCUAUUAUUUUGCUUUUGAGUUGUAGGCAUUCCGCAUAUAGCUUAGCUACCGAUCCCUGAUCAUAUAUGUGAUUUUCAAUGUUUCCACCCCUUCUGUGUCCCCUGCUGUGCCUGGUUGUUUCCUUCACUGUGCUGAGGCCUUUGGAUUUGAAGUCAGUCUGUCCGCAUCUCAGCAGUGUUUGUCAGCCCCAUGCAUGAAGCCCUUCACUUGCAUUUUUUUCUGAGGAAUUUCAUGAUUUCCAUUCUUAUUUCUAGAAUUUUAAUAUGCUGUUGUGUGAGACAUCAACACAGUAUUAAAUUUCGUUCUUUGUAUGUAAAUAUUUCAUCUUCCCGGGACACACAGUUACAAAACAAAACAAGGUAAUCCUGCCAUACUCAAUAUGGUGGAUGAAUCUGGAAGACAUUAUGGUAAGUGAAAUAAGCCAACCCCCGAAGGAUGAAUACAGCAACAUUUCCUGCAUGUGAAGUUUCAGAGCAGCCAAAGAAAGAAGCAAGAAGUAGAAGGAGCUGGGCUGGCAAUGGAAAGCAAGGAGGUGGAGGUUCAGUUGGUGAGGUGGUCAGCACACAGAACACAGCUGUCCUGGAACACGUCUCAGUCCAUGGCCGUGCAAGAAGAUCAGGACUUGCCCCUGGUGUAAAUUGACUAAUGUAUUCCUUAACUGGAGAGUCUGACAGGCCCAGCCUUUAGGGAGUCACGAGCAGGAUGAGAGAUACCAUAUCAGAGGGAGCCACUAUAGGUCCGAGA